rnacentral:ncRNA from 2 species
UUCAACUUAAUUGAAUACCUUCAUAUAUACUCGAUAAUACGGUUCGAGAGUCUCUACCGGAGCACCUGAAAUGCUCUGACUAUGAAGGCAGAAGUCAAGCGC